AUAAUUAAAUCAAUAAAAUCUUCCAUACAACAUAAUAUAUAUAUAAUUGCAGCUGUUUAGCUAGAAAAUGUUAAUUGGAAGAAGCAAAAAGUGGAUUGCGUGGUGCCAGUAAAAUGGUAUCGAUAUGAUCUAGUCUUAAUUAAAUUAGUCGGCGAACUGUUUGCAAAACUUUUGGUUUGAAUAAAAAAGACCAAGUGAAAAUGAUACUGAAAAGACUGUUUACCGUUUGACUCCUGUCUUAAUCUAACCUAGUGGGUUCAAAACGAAGGGACCGCGAUGGAGGGGGUUAAAAGGAUUAGCCCUUUUUGAACUAAUAGUCGAAGUCGUAACCAGCUAGAAGUCCUAACCAGCUCGUAUGAAAGGAUUUCUCGACGUGAAAUAGUUAAUUUUAUUCAACAACGCCAAGAAAAAGAGCUCGCUCAAGAAACAGGAAAGAAAGAGAAAGAUGA